UGUAUCUCAAUAGGAGCUCAGAACGUCUUUCUAAGUGAGACAUUUAGGACUUUCUAUAACCGAAGAGAGAAAAAUCUGUUUAGUAUUCAAAAGAGAGUUUUCUGGAAGAGGACGAGACGCCAACAAGCCUGUUAAAAUGUCACACUUCUCUCCAAAUUCCCAAUGAAAAAUUACAAAGUAAUGCAGACGAGCCCCGAUAUGAAUGAGAAAGACAGAGAAAGAGAGGAGUGGAAACAGACAUCUGUGAAGGUCGAGGAAGAGAAAAUGAAGAGCAUGGAUGCGGUCUGAGGUCAGAGAAACUUCAUCUCAAUCUCAGUUAGCCACAGUGUACUUCAUCAGUUAGCUUGUGUCUGUCAUUCACUUCAGCUGCUCGCUUGAGACGCUGAGGCUUGUGGAGAUGUUUAUUCGUUGCAGAAGUAUUCAAAAGAAGCUUUUGUAUUCUGUAAAGAUGAAAGAUUGUGGACCUCUGGUCAGUAUUCAGCUGAUGACAGACGUGGCUCAAAGAUCCUCUCUGUUUCUCUCGCAUCAUUUCCUCCAGAACUACUGUACUCUCACUUCUGAUGAGCGUCCGUCUGCACAGCACCAGUACCGCGGUAAGAUCUGAGCUCUGCACGAACUCACCGUUACGUAACGAUGCUUCUCAGCUAAUCUGCAGCAGUCGACCUUGAGCUGGUGUAAGAAAGAGCUGCGAACUCUGAGAGAAACAGAACGCUCACAGACGGAGAGAGCGCAUGAUGAGCGGACCGUCUGACACCAGCGGCAGGAGCUGAUGAGUUAACACAGGAGACCAGUGUGUUUCUAAGGGCUGUGUCGUGGUGUCAGGAGCUCCCGGCACAGCUGUUCCUUUUCUAACUGCUGAUAUCUCUGUCAGUACAGUGGCCUCGCUUUAAAAGUCCUUCCACGUGUCAGCAGCUCAGAGAACACAGGCGUGUGUGUGUGUGUGUGUUACAUCAUCACGUCCAUCUCUCUUUGCAGCCACAGCAUUCUGGGUGAAAGCUGUGAGAAAGAUCAGUAGACUGCUGGAGUGAGUUGGGAGGGAGCGGGAGCAGAAACUCGGAUGCUUAGAAAUGUAGCCAUGGUGAUUUUGCAGUGAAUAAGGUAGCCAUGGCGAUGUUGCUGUGGCGACUGUCUAGCACUGAUGAACUGCUGCUGAUGUCAGAAAUGGUUAUGGGAUGUUGCAGUGAAAAUCCUCAUCUUUAACAAGAUCUAGCGCCGCGUCAGCAAGUCAUUAGAUGAGUUUUGUGUGCAAAUUUUGAAUGCACUGAAAAAAAAUUGAUGUAGGACUUUCUUUGAAACUAUUUUCAACUCUAUAUAUUUUUUUUCUUCAGAAAUUUCUAGUAAAUUUACAAUUAAUUACAAAGAAAUGGCAAGCAACACUUAAUUAAUACAAAAU
rnacentral:lncRNA from 1 species